GUGAACAUAUGGAGAACAUGCAGACUCCACACAGACAGCAGCCCAGGUCGGGAAUAGAGCCCAGGGCCCCAGCGCUGAGAGGCAGUGAUGCCGACCACUGAGCCUCCCUGUUGCCCCACUGUUUGACAGGGCCAAUAUUUGUGUCCUCAGAUGUAAGCAUAAUGGUGAUUUCCACUUUGAUUCAUGACUCAUGACGUGAUGUUUUUCCUCGGAAAUUCAAUGUUUGUCAGCAACAGCAGUCUCAUUGCUUGCUUCGCUCAACGAAGAGCAGGCGCCACCGUGAGAAAGAGCCUUUCCAGCAGAGGACACGGCCCGUUCAAGAGAAUGAGCUGGAUCGCUUAACCGUUUCCUUUCCCAGGGCUCGUGUGCAGACCAGCCCCCUCGUCUUAAAACUCUUCUCCAGCCCUGACUUCACACCACUUCCUGUUCCCACUCAUGCUGCGCAUCCGAGCUAUUUAUCGUUUUUUAUUUCUGGGAUUUUCAAAACGUUGAUGCAAGAUGGUGCUUAAGACUCGCUCGUGAUAGUCAAACCAGCAGAGCAUUUUUUUUUUCAGAGCAGCCUUCCUGCUGCUUUCACCAGGCCUCAGCAUGCUGGGAUAUGCUUGUCCUAAGAGCUGUGUGUUAAAAAGACUCUGUAGUGCCAGAGCCAGGGGUGUCUUCCUUAGCCGUGCAGCUGAAGUGAAGACUGCACUCCGUGCAUGAGCCAUAAAUCGGAGAAGCAGAGUGCCUUCCUAGAUAGAAACAGAGGGAUGAAGAGACAGUAGCUUUACGCGUAAAGUUAGCAAGUGUCAGUGUCAAUGUCAUCUAGUGAUCAGAGCUGAGGGGAUGAGAGACAGUACACCUGCAUCAGCCUUAGUCUAGUGUGUGGGCAGCAUGACAGUCCCGUGUGUAUCGAGCUCAGCAACAGAGAAGGGACACAGAUUCUCCUUGUAGUUAAUUGUGGAGGUUAGAGCCGAGGCACUGGGAGAGAGAGAGGGAGGCAGUGUGGGUUAGGCAUUAGAGUUUGGCCAAGAAGCUGGUGUCUAAGAUAGAAACUGGAUUUUUUUAGGUGAAUGGUCUACGUUCAGGCCGUCACCAUGAAAAACACUUCUCUCAGCCUUCGGAAAGUUUGUUUUAUUUCCUGAUCAAAGCUACAUGUGGGCUGACGUGGUUCUCAUGAAACUGACAUAUUCUUGCUGAUGCUGUAAUGAUUGUGCUAUAAGGUAAACAUGUAAAAGCUACACUUUUUAUCACUUCUACUAUCUAUAGUCUCCUUACUUUAUAUAUACAAGUAUUUUAAUAAACAAAGGAAUAUAUACUCGUGUGAAAUGUCUUUGAAAUUUAAUGUGGAAGAUUCUGUUUCUGGGUUGUUAAAAUAGAUACAAUACAGAGGAUAGUUCCAGUCUCUGUUGUGUUUGCUUGGACACAGUGAAUUUGAGAAUUCCUCUCUGUGUUGUCCACUCUUGCUGUGAAUUUGAGUUAUUUGUUGUUUUUAUUUCUGGAUUUUCAAAAUGUCGAUGCAAGACGGUGCUUAAGACUCGCUUGUGAUAGUCAAACCAGCAGAGCGUUUUUUUUUCAGAGCAGCCUUCCUGCUGCUUUCACCAGGCCUCAGCAUGCUGGGAUAUGCUUGUCCUAAGAGCUGUGUGUUAAAAAGACUCUGCAGUGCCAGAGCCCAUUUCAUGACUGUGUGUUUGUGUGAAGACAAUAAACCCACCACAAUUUUGUCUGGAAGCUAAUUUCUGAGCACACAUGUUGUUUCUUUCUUUGAGUUUCAUAAUACUACUAUAAAGGUAUUCAGGUAUACUGUAGCACUAUUUUAAGUGCUAUCUAUAUCCACCUGUCAUCUAUCUAUCUUCUUAUGCUGCUAUUUGUAAUCUGACAUCUGUAAUUUGUUGGGGUUUUUUUUCACCUAUACAGCAUAUAGAGUGUAAGAACUGUUAAAAACAAAAGGACGCCAUUCAGCCCAUAAAGCCCAUUUGGUAAUAAGUAGCUAAUUGAUCCAGCCAUUUCCAGAAGGAAGACAGGAUCUCAGCUUCACCACCGACAUGCCUGGCCGGUAUUCAGUCUCAGAGUCGCUGAGCUCUUCAGCAGCUUUUCUGCAGGACUGGAAAAUUACAGCACCGUGUAUAGCCCACACAUGAGGUAUAAAAGGAGAACAAAUGGGACUUUGAGUACCGUACAGGAAAGAGUUAAAGAGACAGUGCGCCUUUAAAAUAUUCAAGUCAACCACAGUACACGAGCCAGAGAGAGAGCUGCAUGAAGUGAGAGAGCACAACCUCCACCAGCAGCACAGCGGAGCUCCUCUCUGUGAGGACGAGCCUGGCGGCGGAGUCUGCUUUAACGCAGUUUCCAGAGAAAGCUCAGGAGGGAUGACAGGGGCCUGUCCGCCUCGCCUCACACGCCCCGACUGCCGUCACGGACUCUGGAAGACCCUGAGCAGGAGGAGGGGAGAGGUGCUCUUCUGAGAUGACGGGAAGUCUCGUUCACUGGUGAGACACGGUCCCAACACUCCGGCCCAUACUCCGGACUCCCUGAGCCCACAGCCCUGUCCGUGUUACCCUGCCACAUUCCCAGGAAGCCCAGAGCCGAGGGAGUGGCCAGGGCUCGCUGGGAACGGAGCCAGCUGUUGUCAGGAGUCACUCGUGAGUCAGGAACUGGAGAGCCAAUAUCUCUGCACCCCACCUGGGGGCAAAUCCAAUCCCUCUUACAAAGAUACGCAGGACAGGUACAGAGAUGUUCUCCCUGAGUGGGUUUAUUUACACACCCCCUGAUGCUCACGAUUAUUCACGCCUUGUCUGUGGCACUAAAAACCCUCUUCCUGUCUCACUGGUCCUCACACGUCGUCCGGCACUCGUAAGUGAGAUGGACUUCCAGAGCUGAGCCCUCUUUACCUCCUCCCCCUCCUGGUCCCCCUUUCCUCCUGCCCCUCCUUUCCUCUUGCCCUCCUGCCCCUCCUUGCCCCUCCAGUGCUCUGCGGUUCGUUCUGCCCAGGAGCUCCAGCUGGCAGAGGUGUCACGGUCCCUUCCUGUCUGGUACUGGCGCCGAAGCUGAGCUCCGGAGUUUCUAGGGCUGGAGCGCAUCAGUGCAGCAGACACUCCGCCCCUCCCCCUCCUCCUCCUCCUCGCAUCGCCAUCUGCUCCCGUUGGCAUCCAGCGGUUCUGACAGCUGUUGUCACCAGCAUGAGGUGACGCGGCUGAGUGUCGAGUCAAGCCGAGACAAAACGGUUACCGAGCUUCACGGAGAGACUAAACGCUGAGGAUCUGGCAAACUCGGCCGAGGGGAUGAAAGCUAGAGACGGCGGAGGGCAGCUGUGCGCCCGGAUCACGUGUCUGAGGCCCCUCUUCUUGAAAAAGUCUGUUUCUAACUGAGCUCAGCUUUAGACGAGUCAACAGACCGAGCUCCGCUGCGGAAGACAGGCGUCACGUAGCGUGGAACACUGUAAUACGUCAUGAAUUCAAAUACAAAUUGUACAAACGUCAUCAUAGCCGUGACGAUCAAUGUUAAGAGCUCAUCACAAGUACACUCUGCCCCUCUGGUUCAGAAAAGUGUCGGAGCAUAUUACUGGUUUUUACCAGCCACCCACCCGGACCGGACUGGAGUUUAAUACCGCGUUUAAGCUGAAAGACGAACAAUCCUAAAUUCAGCAUCAUUGACAAACCAGACAGCCGGAUUUGAAAUGUCGCCCUCGAACAUACCAGUCAGACUGUCCGGCUGUUCAGACGGUCUGAUCUUGAACGCAGAUGCAAGUACACAGUGGAACGCAAUAUCGUUCCUCCUGG